UACGUAGGGGGCUAGCGUUGUCCGGAUUUAUUGGGCGUAAAGAGCGUGUAGGCGGCCAGGUAGGUCUGCUGUUAAAACUCGAGGCUCAACCUCGAGACGUCGGCGGAAACCAUCUGGCUAGAGUCCGGAAGAGGAGAGUGGAAUUCCUGGUGUAGCGGUGAAAUGCGUAGAUAUCUGGAGGAACACCGGUGGCGAAGGCGGCAUCCUGGACCGGCAUUGACGCUGAGGCGCGAAAGCCAGGGGAGCAAACGGG
rnacentral:rRNA from 1 species